CGACUCGGGGUACCGCUAUCUCUGGUCUCGGUGGUAGGGCGCUAACUAUGAUGCUACGCCCUCGCCUCGCGCCGCCGGGCCGCUCACGUGUGAACCUGUAACACCCCAAAACCACGUGGGGUGAGAACCAACUCCAUGGUUCCUAGUGGGUACGGCCACCCAAGGGAAAAGCUCGACCAAUAGGUCCAAGAGAGGCAACUGCAAGUUAGUUCAAUAAACAGAUAGAUAUAUAUCUUUAUUAUGCAACUAAUAAAAUCAUGUCUUGCCUCACGAAUGCAAUAAUGCCAUGCUAUAUGCGAAUCAUGCAACUAUACAAGUAGAAUGAAGGAUUUUACUUUCUAUCAUGCUAUUCAUAGCUUUUCCAUAAUUUUAUACAUCUUGUUACUUUACAAUCA
rnacentral:lncRNA from 1 species